CCUCGGAUCAGGUAGGGAUACCCGCUGAACUUAAGCAUAUCAA
rnacentral:rRNA from 1 species